AACCCAUGGUGAGGGCACAUUCUCAAUAAGUCCUUAUACCUCUCUCAUACGUAGUAUAAAGUCUCUAAAUCCAUCUGCAUAAAGGAAGAGAUAUCAUUUCUCAAUUU
rfam:Gossypium arboreum cultivar AKA8401 contig_124740_1, whole genome shotgun sequence.